rnacentral:rRNA from 1 species
CCUACGGGAGGCAGCAGUGAGGAAUAUUGGUCAAUGGACGAGAGUCUGAACCAGCCAAGUAGCGUGAAGGAUGACUGCCCUAUGGGUUGUAAACUUCUUUUAUAAAGGAAUAAAACGAGGCACGUGUGCCUUUUUGCAUGUACUUUAUGAAUAAGGAUCGGCUAACUUCGUGCCAGCAGCCGCGGUAAUACGGAGGAUCCGAGCGUUAUCCGGAUUUAUUGGGUUUAAAGGGAGCGUAGAUGGGUUGUUAAGUCAGUUGUGAAAGUUUGCGGCUCAACCGUAAAAUUGCAAUUGAUACUGGAAGUCUUGAGUACAGUUGAGGUAGGCGGAAUUCGUGGUGUAGCGGUGAAAUGCUUAGAUAUCACGAAGAACCCCGAUUGCGAAGGCAGCUUACUAAACUGUGACUGACAUUGAUGCUCGAAAGUGUGGGUAUCAAACAGGAUUAGAUACCCUUGUAGUC